rnacentral:rRNA from 1 species
UACGGAGGGUGCAAGCGUUAUCCGGAUUCACUGGGUUUAAAGGGUGCGUAGGUGGCGCCGUAAGUCAGGUGUGAAAUUUCGGAGCUCAACUCCGAAACUGCAUUUGAUACUGCGGUGCUUGAGGACUGGAGAGGAGACUGGAAUUCACGGUGUAGCAGUGAAAUGCGUAGAUAUCGGGAGGAACACCAGUGGCGAAGGCGGCUUCCUGGCCUGUUCUUGACGCUGAGGCGCGGAAAGCUAGGGGAGCAAACGGGG